rnacentral:tmRNA from 3 species
GGGGAUAUAAUGGUUUCGACAUGUGUAGGAUGCUAAACAUGGCAGUAGUGUGGAAGACUAUAAUUUCUACUAGGCUUUCUUAAACGGAAAAUCAAAUAAAUUUGCAUCAUUUAUGUAUGCACAAAACUCAAAUCUUGCAUUUGCAUAAUUAAUUAGCAACAAGUUGUUUUUAUUACAUUCCUUAGGUAUAAAAACAGGUUUUUAAGGAUAGUUAUUAAAUUUGCGACUUAAUAAUGAAAUUAGCAAAAUAAUAUUAGUUGUUUUUGUUAUUUUUAGCUAAUAUUAUUAUCAAAAUAACAUAAACUGUAGAAGUGUUAAGUGAUUUUACAUGUGGACACGGGUUCGACUCCCGUUAUCUCCACCA